UACGGAAGGCAGCAGUGGGGAAUAUUGCACAAUGGGCGCAAGCCUGAUGCAGCCAUGCCGCGUGUAUGAAGAAGGCCUUCGGGUUGUAAAGUACUUUCAGUCGUGAGGAAGGUGUUAAGGUUAAUAACCUUAGCAAUUGACGUUAGCGACAGAAGAAGCACCGGCUAACUCCGUGCCAGCAGCCGCGGUAAUACGGAGGGUGCGAGCGUUAAUCGGAAUUACUGGGCGUAAAGGGCACGCAGGCGGUUAAUUAAGUUGGAUGUGAAAUCCCCGGGCUUAACCUGGGAAUGGCAUUCAAGACUGGUUAGCUAGAGUCUUGUAGAGGGGGUAGAAUUCCAUGUGUAGCGGUGAAACGCGUAGAGAUGUGGAGGAAUACCGGUGGCGAAGGCGGCCCCUGGACAAAGACUGACGCUCAUGUGCGAAAGCGUGGGGAGCAAACAGGGAUUAGAUACC
rnacentral:rRNA from 1 species